rnacentral:rRNA from 1 species
GACGAACGCUGGCGGCGUGCUUAACACAUGCAAGUCGAACGGUAAGGCCCUUCGGGGUACACGAGUGGCGAACGGGUGAGUAACACGUGGGUGAUCUGCCCUGCACUUCGGGAUAAGCCUGGGAAACUAGGUCUAAUACCGGAUAGGACCCUGGGAUGCAUGUCCUGGGGUGGAAUGCGUUUGCGGUGUGGGAUGGGCCCGCAGCCUAUCAGCUUGUUGGUGGGGUGAUGGCCUACCAAGGCGACGACGGGUAGCCGGCCUGAGAGGGUGACCGGCCACACUGGGACUGAGAUACGGCCCAGACUCCUACGGGAGGCAGCAGUGGGGAAUAUUGCACAAUGGGCGCAAGCCUGAUGCAGCGACGCCGCGUGAGGGAUGACGGCCUUCGGGUUGUAAGCCUCUUUCAGCACCGACGAAGCGCAAGUGACGGUAGGUGCAGAAGAAGGGCCGGCCAACUACGUGCCAGCAGCCGCCGUAA